GACGAACGCUGGCGGCAGGCUUAACACAUGCAAGUCGAACGGGCGUAGCAAUACGUCAGUGGCAGACGGGUGAGUAACGCGUGGGAACGUACCUUUUGGUUCGGAACAACCCAGGGAAACUUGGGCUAAUACCGGAUAAGCCCUUACGGGGAAAGAUUUAUCGCCGAAAGAUCGGCCCGCGUCUGAUUAGCUAGUUGGUGAGGUAACGGCUCACCAAGGCGACGAUCAGUAGCUGGUCUGAGAGGANGAUCAGCCACAUUGGGACUGAGACACGGCCCAAACUCCUACGGGGAGGCAGCAGUGGGGAAUAUUGGACAAUGGGCGCAAGCCUGAUCCAGCCAUGCCGCGUGAGUGAUGAAGGCCCUAGGGUUGUAAAGCUCUUUCAACGGUGAAGAUAAUGACGGUAACCGUAGAAGAAGCCCCGGCUAACUUCGUGCCAGCCGCCGCAGUAAGACCUGAGACUCCAAGGCACAC
rnacentral:rRNA from 1 species